GUAACCAGCAUGCAGGGGUCCACCAUUCUUUGAAAUGUUGACCACAGACUGAAAGAACCUAGUGGGGAAACCCCCACUCAACUCUGGAUUCGGUGUGCACCCAAGAAUCACGAACAAACAG
rnacentral:pre_miRNA from 7 species